rnacentral:rRNA from 1 species
UGGCUCAGGAUGAACGCUAGCGGCAGGCUUAACACAUGCAAGUCGAGGGGCAUCGGGAGUAGCAAUACUUGCCGGCGACCGGCGCAAGGGUGCGUAACGCGUGAGCAACAUGCCCGUAUCAGGGGGAUAAUCCAUGGAAACGUGGUCUAAUACCCCAUAGUAAUUAUGUAAGGCAUCUUAUAUAAUUUAAAGCUUUGGUGGAUACGGAUUGGCUCGCGUGACAUUAGCUGGAUGGUAAGGUAACGGCUUACCAUGGCUACGAUGUCUAGGGGUUCUGAGAGGAAGGUCCCCCACACUGGAACUGAGACACGGUCCAGACUCCUACGGGAGGCAGCAGUGAGGAAUAUUGGACAAUGGAUGGAAAUCUGAUCCAGCCAUGCCGCGUGCAGGAAGACGGCCCUAUGGGUUGUAAACUGCUUUUGUAUGGGAGCAAUAAGGGCUACGUGUAGUCCGAUGAGAGUACCAUACGAAUAAGCACCGGCUAACUCCGUGCCAGCCGCCGC